UGAUUGGAUAACUGUGUUAAUUUUCUGUUUUGCUGCUACAUUUGGAGCUGUGCUUCUGUUCUGUUGUCUGAACUACUAUAGAUCAAAAAACACUGUCACCAGCAGCAUAAUCUGGAAUCUUCAGGUUUCUCUGGUCUUUUGUCCAAACAUCUGUAUGUUCUUUGCCUUCAUGCUUUGGGGCUUUACUGAAGGAUCUCUGCAUGAGACUGUCACCUGCUGUGCUCUUUAU